AUGGAAUUCACAGCAUGGAGUCGGCACAGUGAGUGAGGGGUCAUUGGGAGAGUAGAGAAAACCAUUUCCAUGAGAAUGGAAUGAAAACCAGCCGGCAGAGGGGUGGCCCAGAGGUGGCAGAGACACACAGGAGACUCAGAUGUUCCUCUCUCACUCCUCUCCUCCAAACUCCGGAGGGACAUAUGAAAGACACACGCAUCCUCCAUUGAGAGAACAGACAGAGAAUCUCUCAUUCUCUCUUCUUUCCAGGUUUUCAAUAUCUUCCAUCUUCCUGGCUCUGUCACUUCUUCUCUUGCGUUCCUCUUUCACUCUCUUCCUCCCUCUGUGUCUCUCCCUGUGCAGUGUAUCAAGGUCUCAAAGGGAAAUCUUGAUCAUAUGGGGAAAUGAGGCAGGGCUGUGGCAGAGCAGGAACCAUGUAAGUUUCUACAGAGCCAUAUAAGUUCCCCUGUGCUUUAUCCAUUGGGGCUCUAUUGUGGGCAUGGUGAAUGCCGUUGUCUAACAACGGCAAGUACAUACAUAGAUUUGGCCAGUCCUCAGAAAGCCUACAGCAGUUGAAAUGAAAUAUAUGUCCAUGUCCUUGUUUACAAUGCCAUUCACCAUGCCCACAAUAGAGCCCCAAUGAAUAAAGUGAAUAGAGAAACUUACAUGGAUCUGCAGAAACUUACAUGACUCCAGCUCUGCCACGGUGGCCUCAUUUCCCCAUUUAAUCAAUAUAUCCCUUUGAGCCCUUGAUACACUGCACAGGGAGAGCUUUGAAAUAGCUUGCCUCUGAUUGUACACAUAACUGUAUACAUUGUAUACACGAACUCAGUGUUCUCCAGACCAUGCCACUGUGGGUGAAUGGGGCCAGGGCGGCACUCAGAAGUCAGUUCACACAAGUGUGAGAGAGAUAAUUGGCAACAUGACCAUCGCUCGCUUGGUUAAACUGUUGCAAAAAAAAUAAGAAGAUUUCAGGUAGAAUGAGGAAAGUGUUUCAUAUUCAGUAAAAUAGCAUUUGAUAAUGUGGCCCAUGAUUGUGUGUUUGCGCAAGUUUUUGUGCGCUCUUAUGUCUGUAUUACUUUUGUGAGGUGCAUUUUCAUGUGUCAAUGUGUUCCCUAGAAGCCUGGGUUUGUCCAAUGUUCUGGCAUCUCUAUAUUCCCCUAACAAAGGCUCAGUAUCCUCGGUGUGGUUUCUCAAAAUCACACAUAAGCUGUAGAAAUUGCCGUGGUCAUAUUAAACCAAAAUGUAGACCUUUGGUUUGUUCAGUAUCAUCGCAUUACAUUUCAUGUUCUGUCCUGUACUGUACUUUACUAUACUGUAUGGCCUAUAAACAUAACAUAUAUAGACUGCUGUAUCUACAGCUCACACAGAACAGAAACUCAUCUCUUCACUCUCUUUGCAUUCUACUGGAGUCUCCAAAGCCUGCUCCACAGGAACAAACUGUAAUUAUUAUGUAAUCAGCUGGGCUGCUGCCCACCAAGCAUUACAUUGUUAGUUAACAUUCCUUAUAAAUAACCUUUAUUAAUUCAUCUGAGCAGGAGCUAAUAGGCAGUGGUGGUAUAAUACAUUUAAACAGCACGCUUAGGGUUCCUACUGUAUAAUGGCUGCAAUAUAGAUCCCUGUGCUCUGUCCAUACAGCCAACAUGAGUGUAACACUUUAAACUACACUACAAAUAGGUUAUUAUACAGAAACUACAAGGGAAAUACUCAUGAAAUAUUGCAUGUAAAUUACUAUGUCAGUUAUGACCAUAGUUCUUGUACAUUUCAAGGCCUUUGUGGACAAACCAUGGACAAGCAGGAUCAAUAAGUUUUAAAGUUGAAUUGUUUAGCAUUCUAGCUGCUCCUGCAGACUUCCAGUCAUUGAGCUAACACUGGUUAGCAAUGGCUCUAGAAACAGCCUUCAACUUCCUUCAGACUACCAGCAGAGACAUACAAAUGGUAUCAAUGAGUUCAUCAUGUAGAACAAAGUGCUUAAUUGCCAAAAUGUCAAACUAUCCCUUUAACCAUUUAACAUUCAAAGGACCCAAAUGAACAUGCAGUUGCCAGGGGCCUUAUUUAUCAGUCAUGCGUAGGCACAGAUCUGUGAGUAAACCAUGUGUGAGAUUUAUCAAUAUGAACGCUUGCUUGAGAUUGUGCGUACAUUUAUGCACAGCCCUGACAAUGUUUAUGCACAGUGCCAAGUGCUGGAAUAACAGAAUUGCUUGUCAAGCUUAGAAUAGGGAAAAUACAUGAUGAAAUUGUGAGAAUAAUAAUUCAAUCCAUUUUCAAUGUAAUUGUAUUUCUAUUGUGAAUUCAUGCAACAUAUCUUGACAGGCUAUAUGUAAUUUGACGACAUUAGAGCAUUUGUUAUGAUAAUAAUCCACAUACAGUACAGUAAUUUGUUAAAUUAGUGGCACGUGUGAAAGUGAAACAAGUGUUUAAAUACUGUAAAAGACAGAUCAUGGGAAAUCAAAUAGGAUAUUGAUAGAGUUUUUAGAGAGGUUUUAGAGCUCAUCAGAUAUUGUUUUCCCCUCCAAAAUAUGAUAUACAUUUUGCGAGGAUAUAAGACUUACUUUAAAAAGACAAAAACAUGCCAUUCCGAUGCACAUCCAACUGUUAUCCACCCUCAGGUUUAAGGCAACGGGCACUUUUCAACGGGAUCUCACAGCCCUCGAUAAACCAAUGUUUUGGAUGCAAUCAUCAGCAACACGUACAGUAACACAUACCAUUUCCAUACACCAUCGCACAACAGGAUGAAGUCAAGAGGGGUUUAUUUGCCAUGAUGAAAGCAAUGGGUUCCCAAAUAUGAAGAGAGCAAUAGACUGCGCCCACAUUGCCAUAAAAUAACCAUCUCAAAAUGAUUUCAACUAAGUGAACAGAAAAGAUUUCCACUCUUAAUGUGCAGGUGGUAGGUUAUGUGAUGUGCAAAUGAGGGCAUGGUGACCGGGUGGAACGCACGACUUGUUCAGAACAGCAAUGUUGGCCUACUACAGGAGGUAGCUGUUGAGGAUGGAUGGCUUAUUGGUGAGUGUUGCCUACUCAUUUGAAGUAUAUUUGCCAUUGCUAAAGCAACUUGAGUUUUCCUAAUAGUCUUCUCUUUGUAUCUAUGUUAUUAUUUUUACUGAGUGAGACAAAUAUCCUUUUGGUUGUACUCAAUCUCUGACAAUAGCACCUCUAUGUCAAACUUGGAAAACUUUUUUUUUUCCCACUUUGUUUUGGUGGCGGCAUUGUAUUUCAUGUCAGGGCUUUGUAUAUUCCACACAGGCAGUAAAGGGAUUAUUUUGACCAUAUGGUGGUUGACCAUAUGGUAGCCUCGUGGUUAGAGCGUUGGACUAGUAAGCGUUGCAAGAUCAAAUCCCCGAGCUGACAAGGUAAAAAUCUGUUUUUCUGCCCCUGAACAAGGCAGUUAACCCACUGUUCCUUGGCCGUCAUUAAAAAUAAGAAUUUGUUUUUACCUGACUUGCCUAGUUAAAUGAAGGUAAAAUUAAUAAAUACAUAUGUAUCUGUAUAAUUAGGGGUGUUUCAAAAUGCAAAUAGAGAACAAUUGGUAUUUAUCAAUCUUCUACCGGUAUGCGUUUGACGCUCGUGGGAAUGUUCGAUAAAACUUUUCUAUCCUUACGAACAUUCUAAAUUCCAUUAGUAAUUAGUAUUUUAAAAUAGUUUCUACGCAAUAUCGAUGAAUGAGGCCCGUGGACUUCAGAGUCAGCACAAAGUUACACAGUCUCUCUCUCUCUCUCUCUCUCUCUCUCUCUCUCUCUGUCUCUCUCUCUCUCUCAGUUUUAUUAAAUUCAAAGGGCUUUAUUGACAUGGGAAACAUGAUUAUUCUGCCAAAGCAAGUGGAGUAAACAAUAAACAAAAGGGAAAUAAACUGUCACAAUGUGAUCUGUUUCACCUGUCUUUGUGCUUGUCUCCACCCCCCUCCAGGUGCCACCCAUCUUCCCCAUUAUCACCAGUGUAUUUAUACCUGUUGUUCUCUGUUUGUCUGUUGCCAGUUCAUUUUGUUCGUCAAGCCUACCAGUGGUUUUCCCCUUGCUCCUGUCUUUGUCUAGUUUCUGUUUUCUAGUUUUCCCGGUUUCGACCAUUCUGCCUACCCUGAGCCUGCCUGUCACACCACCCUGGAUUACUGACCUCUGCUUGCCCUGACCCCGAGAAUGCCUGCCGUUCUGUACCUUUUAGACCCUGAUCUGGAUUACUGACCUCUGCUUGCCCUGACCCCGAGAAUGCCUGCCGUUCUGUACCUUUUAGACUCUGAUCUGGAUUACUGACCUCUGCCUGCCCUGACCCCGAGAAUGCCUGCCGUUCUGUACCUUUUGGACUCUGAUCUGGAUUACUGACCUCUGCUUGCCCUUGACCUGUCCUUUUGCCUGUCCCCUGUUUUAGUAAUAAACUUUUGUUCCGUCGACA